rnacentral:rRNA from 2 species
UACGGAGGGUGCAAGCGUUAAUCGGAAUUACUGGGCGUAAAGCGCACGCAGGCGGUUUGUUAAGUCAGAUGUGAAAUCCCCGAGCUUAACUUGGGAACUGCAUUUGAAGCUGGCAAGCUAGAGUCUUGUAGAGGGGGGUAGAAUUCCAGGUGUAGCGGUGAAAUGCGUAGAGAUCUGGGGGAAUACCGGUGGCGAAGGCGGCCCCCUGGGCAAAGACUGACGCUCAGGUGCGAAAGCGUGGGGAGCAAAC